rnacentral:rRNA from 1 species
AACGAACGCUGGCGGCAGGCCUAACACAUGCAAGUCGAGCGCCCAGCAAUGGGAGCGGCGGACGGGUGAGUAACGCGUGGGAAUUUUUCCUGGAGUACGGAACAACCGAGGGAAACUUCGGCUAAUACCGUAUGAUGCCGAGAGGCCAAAGAUUUAUCGCUCUGGGGUGAGCCCGCGUCAGAUUAGGUAGUUGGUGGGGUAAUGCCUACCAAGCCUGCGAUCUGUAGCNGGUCUGAGAGGACGAUCAGCCACACUGGGACUGAGACACGGCCCAGACUCCUACGGGAGGCAGCAGUGGGGAAUCUUGCGCAAUGGGCGAAAAGCCUGACGCAGCCAUGCCGCGUGAGUGAAAGAA